rnacentral:rRNA from 1 species
GAGACGAUGUGGUUGAUAGGCCGGGAGUGGAAGUACAGUGAUGUAUGGAGCGGACCGGUACUAAUAGACCGAGGACUUGACUU